rnacentral:rRNA from 1 species
GACGUAGGGGACGAGCGUUGUCCGGAUUCAUUGGGCGUAAAGCGCGCGCAGGCGGCUUGGAAAGUCUAGUGUUUAAGCUCGGGGCUCAACCCCGAUACGCACCGGAAACUGCCAGGCUUGAGUGCAGAAGAGGAAAGUGGAAUUCCACGUGUAGCGGUGAAAUGCGUAGAGAUGUGGAGGAACACCAGUGGCGAAGGCGGUCUGCUGGGCCGUUGCUGACGCUGAGGCGCGACAGCGUGGGGAGCAAACAGG